rnacentral:rRNA from 1 species
CCAUAUCACCCUGCAGCCCAAGACUGGUUGCCCACUGAAGCUAAGCAGGGUUGAGCCUGGUCAGUACCUGGAUGGGAGACCUCAUAUAUUUGGUAG